GUGAGCGAGAACCAUGUUGGUGGA
rnacentral:piRNA from 1 species